GACGAACGCGGCGGCGUGCCUAAUACAUGCAAGUGGGACGCAAGGGAACACACUGUGCUUGCACACCGUGUUUUCUUGAGUCGCGAACGGGUGAGUAACGCGUAGGUAACCUGCCUAUUAGCGGGGGAUAACUAUUGGAAACGAUAGCUAAUACCGCAUAAUAUUAAUUAUUGCAUGAUAAUUGAUUGAAAGAUGCAAGCGCAUCACUAGUAGAUGGACCUGCGUUGUAUUAGCUAGUUGGUAAGGUAAGAGCUUACCAAGGCGACGAUACAUAGCCGACCUGAGAGGGUGAUCGGCCACACUGGGACUGAGACACGGCCCAGACUCCUACGGGAGGCAGCAGUAGGGAAUCUUCGGCAAUGGACGAAAGUCUGACCGAGCAACGCCGCGUGAGUGAAGAAGGUUUUCGGAUCGUAAAGCUCUGUUGUAAGUCAAGAACGUGUGUGAGAGUGGAAAGUUCACACAGUGACGGAGCUACCAGA
rnacentral:rRNA from 1 species